UACGUAGGGGGCUAGCGUUGUCCGGAUUUAUUGGGCGUAAAGAGCGUGUAGGCGGCCAGGUAGGUCUGCUGUGAAAACUCGAGGCUCAACCUCGAGACGUCGGCGGAAACCAUCUGGCUAGAGUCCGGAAGAGGAGAGUGGAAUUCAUGGUGUAGCAGUGAAAUGCGUAGAUAUCAUGAGGAAUACCAGAGGCGAAGGCGGCUACCUGGACAAUUGCUGACGCUCAGGCACGAAAGCGUGGGGAGCAAAAGGG
rnacentral:rRNA from 1 species